rnacentral:rRNA from 1 species
UCUCGUUGGUGACCAGCGGAGGGAUCAUUACCGAGUUUACAACUCCCAAACCCAAUGUGAACGUUACCAAACUGUUGCCUCGGCGGGAUCUCUGCCCCGGGUGCGUCGCAGCCCCGGACCAAGGCGCCCGCCGGAGGACCAACCAAAACUCUUUUUGUAUACCCCCUCGCGGGUUUUUUAUAAUCUGAGCCUUCUCGGCGCCUCUCGUAGGCGUUUCGAAAAUGAAUCAAAACUUUCAACAACGGAUCUCUUGGUUCUGGCAUCGAUGAAGAACGCAGCGAAAUGCGAUAAGUAAUGUGAAUUGCAGAAUUCAGUGAAUCAUCGAAUCUUUGAACGCACAUUGCGCCCGCCAGUAUUCUGGCGGGCAUGCCUGUCCGAGCGUCAUUUCAACCCUCGAACCCCUCCGGGGGGUCGGCGUUGGGGAUCGGCCCUCCCUUAGCGGGUGGCCGUCUCCGAAAUACAGUGGCGGUCUCGCCGCAGCCUCUCCUGCGCAGUAGUUUGCACACUCGCAUCGGGAGCGCGGCGCGUCCACAGCCGUUAAACACCCAACUUCUGAAAUGUUGACCUCGGAUCAGGUAGGAAUACCCGCUGAACUUAAGCAUAUCAAUAAGC